AGGGCGCACGGUGGAUGCCUUGGCACUAGGAGCCGAUGAAGGACGGGACGAACACCGAUAUGCUUCGGGGAGCUGUAAGCAAGCUUUGAUCCGGAGAUUUCCGAAUGGGGAAACCCACCACUCGUAAUGGAGUGGUAUCCAUAUCUGAAUUCAUAGGAUAUGAGAAGGCAGACCCGGGGAACUGAAACAUCUAAGUACCCGGAGGAAGAGAAAGCAAAUGCGAUUCCCUGAGUAGCGGCGAGCGAAACGGGAUUAGCCCAAACCAAGAGGCUUGCCUCUUGGGGUUGUAGGACACUCUGUACGGAGUUACAAAGGAACGAGGUAGAUGAAGAGGUCUGGAAAGGCCCGCCAUAGGAGGUAACAGCCCUGUAGUCAAAACUUCGUUCUCUCCUGAGUGGAUCCUGAGUACGGCGGAACACGUGAAAUUCCGUCGGAAUCCGGGAGGACCAUCUCCCAAGGCUAAAUACUCCCUAGUGACCGAUAGUGAACCAGUACCGUGAGGGAAAGGUGAAAAGCACCCCGGAAGGGGAGUGAAAGAGAUCCUGAAACCGUGUGCCUACAAGUAGUCAGAGCCCGUUAACGGGUGAUGGCGUGCCUUUUGUAGAAUGAACCGGCGAGUUACGAUCUCGUGCAAGGUUAAGCAGAAGAUGCGGAGCCGCAGCGAAAGCGAGUCUGAAUAGGGCGCAUGAGUACGUGGUCGUAGACCCGAAACCAGGUGAUCUACCCAUGUCCAGGGUGAAGUUCAGGUAACACUGAAUGGAGGCCCGAACCCACGCACGUUGAAAAGUGCGGGGAUGAGGUGUGGGUAGGGGUGAAAUGCCAAUCGAACCUGGAGAUAGCUGGUUCUCUCCGAAAUAGCUUUAGGGCUAGCCUCAAGGUAAGAGUCUUGGAGGUAGAGCACUGAUUGGACUAGGGGCCCCUACCGGGUUACCGAAUUCAGUCAAACUCCGAAUGCCAAUGACUUAUCCUUGGGAGUCAGACUGCGAGUGAUAAGAUCCGUAGUCGAAAGGGAAACAGCCCAGACCGCCAGCUAAGGUCCCAAAGUAUACGUUAAGUGGAAAAGGAUGUGGAGUUGCUUAGACAACCAGGAUGUUGGCUUAGAAGCAGCCACCAUUUAAAGAGUGCGUAAUAGCUCACUGGUCGAGUGACUCUGCGCCGAAAAUGUACCGGGGCUAAACGUAUCACCGAAGCUGCGGACUGUUCUUCGAACAGUGGUAGGAGAGCGUUCUAAGGGCUGUGAAGCCAGACCGGAAGGACUGGUGGAGCGCUUAGAAGUGAGAAUGCCGGUAUGAGUAGCGAAAGAGGGGUGAGAAUCCCCUCCACCGAAUGCCUAAGGUUUCCUGAGGAAGGCUCGUCCGCUCAGGGUUAGUCGGGACCUAAGCCGAGGCCGAAAGGCGUAGGCGAUGGACAACAGGUUGAUAUUCCUGUACCACCUCCUCACCAUUUGAGCAAUGGGGGGACGCAGGAGGAUAGGGUAAGCGCGGUAUUGGAUAUCCGCGUCCAAGCAGUUAGGC
rnacentral:rRNA from 1 species